CCUACGGGGGGCAGCAGUGGGGAAUAUUGGGCAAUGGGCGCAAGCCUGACCCAGCAACGCCGCGUGAAGGAAGAAGGCUUUCGGGUUGUAAACUUCUUUUGUCAGGGAGCAAAGGCGUCCACGUGUGGACGAGAGGAGAGUACCUGAAGAAAAAGCAUCGGCUAACUCCGUGCCAGCAGCCGCGGUAAUACGGAGGAUGCGAGCGUUAUCCGGAUUUACUGGGUGUAAAGGGCGUGUAGGCGGGACUGCAAGUCAGAUGUGAAAACCACGGGCUCAACCUGUGGCCUGCAUUUGAAACUGUAGUUCUUGAGUACUGGAGAGGCAGACGGAAUUCCUAGUGUAGCGGUGAAAUGCGUAGAUAUUAGGAGGAACACCAGUGGCGAAGGCGGUCUGCUGGACAGCAACUGACGCUGAGGCGCGAAAGCGUGGGGAGCAAACAGGAUUAGAUACCCCAGUAGUC
rnacentral:rRNA from 1 species